rnacentral:rRNA from 1 species
CAAUAGCGUAUAUUAAAGUUGUUGCAGUUAAAAAGCUCGUAGUUGAAUUUCUGGCGGGCGCGCCGGUCUUCCAAGUGUUGUACUGGGCGCAGUCCGCCAUCCUUGUGGAGAGGGCUCGCAUCGAGUUGCGUGUCGGAUCUGCAUCAUUUACUGUGAAAAAAUUAGAGUGUUUAAAGCAGGCUGUCGCUUGAAUACAUUAGCAUGGAAUAAUAAGAUAGGACUUCGGUCUAUUUUGUUGGUUGCGAACCGAGGUAAUGAUUAAUAGGGAUAGUUGGGGGUAUUCAUAUUUAAUUGUCAGAGGUGAAAUUCUUGGAUUUAUGAAAGAUGAACAACUGCGAAAGCAUUUACCAAGGAUGUUUNCAUUAA